rnacentral:rRNA from 1 species
AACGUAGGGGGCGAGCGUUGUCCGGAAUUACUGGGCGUAAAGAGCUCGUAGGCGGUAGUUCAAGUCAGGUGUGAAAUCCGACGGCUUAACCGGAGGACUGCACCUGAUACUGGGCUGCUAGAGGUAAGGAGAGGAAGGUGGAAUUCCCGGUGUAGCGGUGAAAUGCGUAGAGAUCAGGAGGAACACCGAUGGCGAAGGCAGCCCCCUGGGCCUGUACUGACGCUCAUGCACGAAAGCGUGGGGAGCAAACAGG